UACGAAGGUUGCAAGCGUUACUCGGAAUUACUAGGCGUAAAGGGCAGGUAGGUGGUUUGGUAAGUCUAUUGUGAAAGCUCCUGGCUUAACUGGGAGAGGCCAAUGGAUACUGCCAAGCUUGAGUAUAGGAGAGGUUACUGGAAUUCCCGGAGUAGCGGUGAAAUGCGCAGAUAUCGGGAGGAACACCAAUGGCGAAAGCAGGUAACUGGACUAUUACUGACGCUGAUGCUCGAAAGCUAGGGGAGCAAACAGG
rnacentral:rRNA from 1 species